ACUGAAGCCAAAGAGAGGCUAAUCACUGUUAAUGAUUUUAUUGGGUAAAUCCCCAGU
rnacentral:tRNA from 1 species